rnacentral:rRNA from 1 species
AUUGAACGCUGGCGGCAGGCCUAACACAUGCAAGUCGAACGAGUGGCGGACGGGUGAGUAAUGUCUGGGAAACUGCCUGAUGGAGGGGGAUAACUACUGGAAACGGUAGCUAAUACCGCAUACCAUCGGAUGUGCCCAGGUGGGAUUAGCUAGUAGGUGGGGUAAAGGCUCCCCUGGGCGACGAUCCCUAGCUGGUCUGAGAGGAUGACAAGCCCAACGGGAACUGAGAAACGGUCCAGACUCCGACGGGAGGCAGAAGGGGGGAAUAUUGCAAAAUGGGCGCAAGCCGGAUGAAGCCAUGCCGCGUGUAUGAAGAAGGCCUUCGGGUUGUAAAGUACUUUCAGCGGGGAGGCGUUACCCGCAGAAGAAGCACCGGCUAACUCCGUGCCAGCAGCCGCGGUAAUUC